rnacentral:rRNA from 1 species
UACGUAGGGUGCAGGCGUUAAUCGGAAUUACUGGGCGUAAAGCGUGCGCAGGCGGUUUUGUAAGCCAGAUGUGAAAUCCCCGGGCUUAACCUGGGAAUGGCAUUUGGGACUGCAAGGCUGGAGUUUGGCAGAGGAGACUGGAAUUCCUGGUGUAGCAGUGAAAUGCGUAGAUAUCAGGAGGAACACCGAUGGCGAAGGCAGGUCUCUGGGCUGAAACUGACGCUCAUGCACGAAAGCGUGGGGAGCAAACAGG